UACGGAGGGGGCUAGCGUUGUUCGGAAUUACUGGGCGUAAAGCGCGUGUAGGCGGCUCGGAAAGUCGGAUGUGAAAGCCCUGGGCUUAACCUAGGAAGUGCAUUCGAAACUCCCGAGCUUGAGUUCUGGAGAGGAAGGCGGAAUUCUCGGUGUAGAGGUGAAAUUCGUAGAUAUCGAGAGGAACACCGGUGGCGAAGGCGGCCUUCUGGACAGUGACGUGACGCUGAGACGGCGAAAAGCGUGG
rnacentral:rRNA from 1 species